rnacentral:rRNA from 1 species
UGUCUCUCUGAGUUUUUUUAAUAGAGAGUUGGGCCUGCUCGGUGAUUAAAUAUUUAACAGCUGCGGUAUUAUAACUGUACUAAGGUAGCAUAAUAAUUUGCCUUAUAAAUUGAGGCUAGAAUGAAUGGUUUGACGAAAAUUAUACUGUCUCUGGCUUAUUUAUUAGAAUUUAAUUUUUACAGUGAGAAAGCUUGAAUAAUUUAAAGGGACGAAAAGACCCUAUUGAGCUUUAUAUUAUACUUUAAAUUUAAUAAUUUAUUUAAAUAUAAUUUUGGUUGGGGUGAUCAAGGAAUAAAAAUUAAAUGUUAUUAACUUCCUUAAUUGUUUAUAUGUAUGAAUGAAUAAACCAAAUUUUUUGCUUAGAAGAUAAGUUACCAUAGGGAUAACAGCGUAAUUUUUUUUGAAAGUUCAUAUUGAAAAAAGAGAUUGCGACCUCGAUGUUGGAUUAAAAUAACCUUAAGGUGUAGAGGCUUUAAAUGGUAAAUCUGUUCGAUUUUUAAAAUUUUACGU